rnacentral:rRNA from 1 species
CCUACGGGAGGCAGCAGUAGGGAAUCUUCCGCAAUGGACGAAAGUCUGACGGAGCAACGCCGCGUGAGCGAAGAAGGUCUUCGGAUCGUAAAGCUCUGUUGUUAGGGAAGAACAAGUACGGGAGGAAAUGACCGUACCUUGACGGUACCUAACGAGGAAGCCACGGCUAACUACGUGCCAGCAGCCGCGGUAAUACGGAGGUGGCAAGCGUUGUCCGGAAUUAUUGGGCGUAAAGCGCGCGCAGGCGGUCGUUUUAGUCUGAUGUUAAAUCUUGAGGCUCAACCGCAAGCGGUCAUUGCAAACUGGGAGACUUGAGUGCAGAAGAGGAAAGCGGAAUUCCACGUGUAGCGGUGAAAUGCGUAGAGAUGUGGAGGAACACCAGUGGCGAAGGCGACUUUCUGGACUUAGACUGACGCUGAGGUACGAAAGCGUGGGGAGCAAACAGGAUUAGAUACCCCGGUAGUC